UUCUUCUUAGCUCAGUUGGUAGAGCGCGUCACUAGUAUCACCCUUCAAGCACAAUACUUAUUCAUGACAAAGUCAGUCGUUCAAGCUGGCUAGAAGGAU